rnacentral:misc_RNA from 1 species
UUCUUUUCUUAUCAUUUUAUAAAUCUGCUUUAGCUAAAGUUGAUAAAGAAAAUGGUUUUAGGAGAAAGUGAGGAAAAGGAGCUCACCGACCUUGAAUUUUCCAUCUCAGUGAUUGAAAAAGAAGAAAAAUAAAUUAAUGAGCAAGUGCCUUUCUUUUUCACAUCAUUAUUCAAAGGAAAGAGGAAAAGCAAGUAGGAAUUGAGGGGUCAUCAUAAGAGGCACCCAUUAUAAGCAUUUCCUGCCAAAG